UACGAAGGGGGCUAGCGUUGCUCGGAAUCACUGGGCGUAAAGGGUGCGUAGGCGGGUUUUUAAGUCAGAGGUGAAAUCCUGGAGCUCAACUCCAGAACUGCCUUUGAUACUGAAAGUCUUUGAGUAUGGGGAGAGGUGAGUGGAACUGCGAGUGUAGAGGUGAAAAUUCGUAGAUAUUUCGCAAGAACACCAGUGGCGAAGGCGCUCACU
rnacentral:rRNA from 1 species